AUUGAACGCUGGCGGCAUGCUUUACACAUGCAAGUCGGACGGCAGCACAGAGAAGCUUGCUUCUUGGGUGGCGAGUGGCGAACGGGUGAGUAAUAUAUCGGAACGUACCGAGUAAUGGGGGAUAACUAAUCGAAAGAUUAGCUAAUACCGCAUAUUCUCUGAGGAGGAAAGCAGGGGACCUUCAGGCCUUGCGUUAUUCGAGCGGCCGAUAUCUGAUUAGCUAGUUGGUGGGGUAAAGGCCUACCAAGGCGACGAUCAGUAGCGGGUCUGAGAGGAUGAUCCGCCACACUGGGACUGAGACACGGCCCAGACUCCUACGGGAGGCAGCAGUGGGGAAUUUUGGACAAUGGGCGCAAGCCUGAUCCAGCCAUGCCGCGUGUCUGAAGAAGGCCUUCGGGUUGUAAAGGACUUUUGUCAGGGAAGAAAAGGCUGUUGCUAAUACCGACAGCUGAUGACGGUACCUGAAGAAUAAGCACCGGCUAACUACGUG
rnacentral:rRNA from 1 species